rnacentral:rRNA from 1 species
UACGAAGGGGGCUAGCGUUGCUCGGAAUCACUGGGCGUAAAGCGCACGUAGGCGGAUUGCUAAGUCAGGGGUGAAAUCCUGGAGCUCAACUCCAGAACUGCCUUUGAUACUGGCGAUCUUGAGUCCGGGAGAGGUGAGUGGAACUGCGAGUGUAGAGGUGAAAUUCGUAGAUAUCUGGAGGAACACCGGUGGCGAAGGCGGCAUCCUGGCACACUCCUGACACUCAUACGCGAAAGCUAGGGGAGCGAACGGG